AUGGAGUACACUGUUGUAGUAGCUGAAAUGGCGGAUUCACCUGCUACAUUACAAUACCUCGCUCCUUAUACGGGAGCAGCCCUGGCUGAGUAUUUUAUGUACUCUGAACGGCAUACUUUAAUAAUUUAUGAUGAUCUCUCCAGACAGGCACAAGCUUAUCGCCAAAUGUCCCUUCUAUUAAGAAGACCUCCCAGCCAUGAGGCUUAUCCAGGGGAUGUUUUUUAUUUGCAUUCACGCCUUUUAGAAAGAGCCGCUAAAUUAAAUUCUCUUUUAGGCGAAGGAAGUAUGACCGCUUUACCAAUAGUUGAGACUCAAUCUCGAGACGUUUCCGCCUAUAUUCCUGCUAAUGUAAUCUCCAUUACAGAUGGACAAAUAUUCUUAUCUGCGGAUCUAUUCCAUGCUGGAAUUUGA
rnacentral:rRNA from 1 species